UACAGAGGUCCCAAGCGUUGUUCGGAUUCACUGGGCGUAAAGGGUGCGUAGGUGGCCGGAUAAGUCUGAUGUGAAAUCUCGCGGCUCAACCGCGAAACUGCAUUGGAUACUAUUCGGCUUGAGGGUUGGAGGGGGGACUGGAAUUCUCGGUGUAGCAGUGAAAUGCGUAGAGAUCGAGAGGAACACCAGUGGCGAAGGCGAGUCCCUGGACAACUCCUGACACUGAGGCACGAAAGCUAGGGGAGCAAACAGG
rnacentral:rRNA from 1 species